CCGCCUGAUCCGGGGAGAUGUAGUGGAUGUGGGUGUCCAGGCCACCGGCGGUGAUGAUGUGGUGCUCACCGGCGAUGAUUUCGGUGUUGACGCCGACCGGGAUGUCGAUGUCGUCUUGGACGUCCGGGUUGCCGGCCUUGCCGAUGCCGGAGAUGCGGCCGUCGGUGAUGCCGAUGUCGGCCUUGUACACGCCGGUGUGGUCGAUGAUGAGGGCGCGGGUGAUGACGGUGUCCGGCACGCCUUCGUCACGGGUGAGGCGGCCGUUCUGGCCCAUGCCGUCACGG
rfam:Corynebacterium maris DSM 45190, complete genome.